UCUAAGGUGAAUUAACUGUCCAAAGAAACAGGAAGCUGAUUUAACUGUCCAAAGAAACAGGAAGCUUAUUUAACUGCCCAAAGAGACAUGAAGCUGAUUUAACUGUCCAAAGAGACAGGAAGCUGAUUUAACUGUCCAAAGAAACAGGAAGCUGAUUUAACUGUCCAAAGAAACAGGAAGCUGAUUUAACUGUCCAAAGAAACAGGAAGCUGAUUUAACUGUCCAAAGAGACAGGAAGCUGAUUUAACUGUCCAAAGAAACAGGAAGCUGAUUUAACUGUCCAAAGAAACAGGAAGCUGAUUUAACUGUCCAAAGAGACAGGAAGCUGAUUUAACUGUCCAAAGAAACAGGAAGCUGAUUUAACUGUCCAAAGAAACAGGAAGCUUAUUUAACUGCCCAAAGAGACAUGAAGCUGAUUUAACUGUCCAAAGAAACAGGAAGCUGAUUUAACUGUCCAAAGAAACAGGAAGCUGAUUUAACUGUCCAGAGACAGAAAAGUAACGCUUAAAGGUACACUGAGCGAGAUGACGUUGCCCGUACAAUGUAAAUACAAUAUUGAGUAAAUAUCCUCAACAACUAAUAGUGUUGAAGCGCGAGGCUAAACUUCUUAGGUGUUUUGGUCCCGUAGAUAUGGUGUUGCCUGAAGCGCGAGGCUAAACUUCUCAGGUGUUUUGGUCCCGUAGAUAUGGUGUUGCCUGAAGCGCGAGGCUAAACUUCUCAGGUGUUUUGGUCCCGUAGAUAUGGUGUUGCCUGAAGCGCGAGGCUAAACUUCUCAGGUGUUUUGGUCCCGUAGAUAUGGUGUUGCCUGAAGCGCGAGGCUAAACUUCUCAGGUGUUUUGGUCCCGUAGAUAUGGUGUUGCCUGAAGCGAGAGGCUAAACUUCUCAGGUGUUUUGGUCCCGUAGAUAUGGUGUUGCCUGAAGCGCGAGGCUAAACUUCUCAGGUGUUUUGGUCCCGUAGAUAUGGUGUUGCCUGAAGCGCGAGGCUAAACUUCUCAGGUGUUUUGGUCCCGUAGAUAUGGUGUUGCCUGAAGCGCGAGGCUAAACUUCUCAGGUGUUUUGGUCCCGUAGAUAUGGUGUUGCCUGAAGCGCGAGGCUAAACUUCUCAGGUGUUUUGGUCCCGUAGAUAUGGUGUUGCCUGAAGCGCGAGGCUAAACUUCUCAGGUGUUUUGGUCCCGUAGAUAUGGUGUUGCCUGAAGCGCGAGGCUAAACUUCUCAGGUGUUUUGGUCCCGUAGAUAUGGUGUUGCCUGAAGCGCGAGGCUAAACUUCUCAGGUGUUUUGGUCCCGUAGAUAUGGUGUUGCCUGAAGCGCGAGGCUAAACUUCUCAGGUGUUUUGGUCCCGUAGAUAUGGUGUUGCCUGAAGCGCGAGGCUAAACUUCUCAGGUGUUUUGGUCCCGUAGAUAUGGUGUUGCCUGAAGCGCGAGGCUAAACUUCUUAGGUGUUUUGGUCCCGUAGAUAUGGUGUUGCCUGAAGCGCGAGGCUAAACUUCUCAGGUGUUUUGGUCCCGUAGAUAUGGUGUUGCCUGAAGCGCGAGGCUAAACUUCUCAGGUGUUUUGGUCCCGUAGAUAUGGUGUUGCCUGAAGCGCGCCCUUGUGAUAGACCACUCUGUGUGACUGGGAGAGCAAUCUGGUAUCGAGUUCAUAUCAAUAUCUACGGUGCUGCAACUUCAUCUCGCUGAGUCUCCCUUUAAAGAGGGUAUGUUGUACAUCUUGUUUCUAACCAUCUAUGAGCCUUUAUUAUCUAGAGUGGAGAGACUACGUCAACAGAAAUGGUACCGUAAUUCAGAAUCUGAUCAAAUAACAUGAGAUUUUAGCUCUGAGUUAACAGACUUUGUCUUAUAUUUUAUCUACAUUGAACACAAAUAUCAAAGCAACAUGUAAAGUGUUGGUCCCAUGUUUCAUGAGCUGAAAUAAAAGAUACACACAAAAAGCUUAUUUCUCUCAAAUGUUGUGAACUAAUUUGUUUACAUUUCUGUUAGUGAGCAUUUCUCCUUUGCCAAGAUAAUAAAUCCACCUGACAGGUGUGGCAUUUCAAGAAGCUGAUUAAACAGCAUGAUCAUUACACAGGUUCACUUUG